GCCUGCGUGGUGUAGCGGUAGCACCCUCGGCACGUAUUCGAGAGGUGCAGGUUCGAGUCCCGGCGAGGGCU
rnacentral:tRNA from 1 species